UACGUAGGGUGCGAGCGUUGUCCGGAAUUAUUGGGCGUAAAGGGCUCGUAGGCGGUCUGUUGCGUCGGGAGUGAAAACUCAGGGCUUAACCCUGAGCCUGCUUCCGAUACGGGCAGACUAGAGGUAUGCAGGGGAGAACGGAAUUCCUGGUGUAGCGGUGAAAUGCGCAGAUAUCAGGAGGAACACCGGUGGCGAAGGCGGUUCUCUGGGCAUUACCUGACGCUGAGGAGCGAAAGCAUGGGUAGCGAACAGG
rnacentral:rRNA from 1 species